rnacentral:rRNA from 1 species
AUGGCGUAGCUACCAUGCAGUCGAGCGGCAGCGGGAAAGUAGCUUGCUACUUUUUGCCGGCGAAGCGGCGGACGGGUGAGUAAUGCCUGGGGAUCUGCCCAGUCGAGGGGGAUAACUACUGGAAACGGUAGCUAAUACCGCAUACGCCCUACGGGGGAAAGCAGGGGACCUUCGGGCCUUGCGCGAUUGGAUGAACCCAGGUGGGAUUAGCUAGUUGGUGAGGUAAUGGCUCACCAAGGCGACGAUCCCUAGCUGGUCUGAGAGGAUGAUCAGCCACACUGGAACUGAGACACGGUCCAGACUCCUACGGGAGGCAGCAGUGGGGAAUAUUGCACAAUGGGGGAAACCCUGAUGCAGCCAUGCCGCGUGUGUGAAGAAGGCCUUCGGGUUGUAAAGCACUUUCAGCGAGGAGGAAAGGUUGGUAGCUAAUAACUGCCAGCUGUGACGUUACUCGCAGAAGAAGCACCGGCUAACUCCGUGCCAGCAGCCGCGGUAAUACGGAGGGGUGCAAGCGUUAAUCGGAAUUACUGGGCGUAAAGCGCACGCAGGCGGUUGGAUAAGUUAGAUGUGAAAGCCCCGGGCUCAACCUGGGAAUUGCAUUUAAAACUGUCCAGCUAGAGUCUUGUAGAGGGGGGUAGAAUUUCGAGUGUAGCGGUGAAAUGCGUAGAGAUCUGGAGGAAUACCGGUGGCGAAGCGGCCCCCUGGACAAAGACUGACGCUCACGUGCGAAAGCGUGGGGAGCAAAGCAGGAUUAGAUACCUGGUAGUCCACGCCGUAACGAUGUCGAUUUGGAGGCUGUGUCGUUGAGACGUGGCUUCGGAGCUAACGCGUUAGAUCGACUGCUUGGGGGAGUACGGCGCAAGGUAAGAGCUCAAUGAAUUGACUGGGGCCCGCGCAAGGCGGUGGGAGCAUGUGGUUUAAUUCGAUGCAACGCGAGACUACUACUGACAUGUUCUGGAAUCCUGCUAGAUAUUGGAGUGCUUCGGAAUCAACACAGUGCUGCAUGCUGUCUCAGCUCGGUCAUGCAAUGUGCUAAGUUCGACGAGCCUAACCAGUCUGGUGCGCACGUAUGUGCACUCAGUAACUGCAGGUUAACGCAAGGUUGAAUGAUCAAGUCAC